UACGAAGGGGGCUGGCGUUGUUCGGAAUUACUGGGCGUAAAGCGCACGUAGGCGGGUCGUUAAGUCAGGGGUGAAAUCCCAGAGCUCAACUCUGGAACUGCCUUUGAUACUGGCGACCUAGAGUUCGGAAGAGGUUAGUGGAAUUCCCAGUGUAGAGGUGAAAUUCGUAGAUAUUGGGAAGAACACCAGUGGCGAAGGCGGCUAACUGGUCCGAUACUGACGCUGAGGUGCGAAAGCGUGGGGAGCAAACAGG
rnacentral:rRNA from 1 species